CUGUGUGUAUUUAACAGUCUGUCUGUGUGUAUUUAGCAGUCUGUCUGUAUUUAGCAGACUGCUGAAUACACACACACAGACUGCUGAGUACACA